UUGCGAUUGCACGGCUUGGAUGAUCCAUCCUCUCGGCCAGCAGCCUCUGGGUAGCGCCUCAUCCACUAUCAGCAAUAGGUCGCCCUCCUGUAGCGGACGCUGAUGUUGAAACCACUUGCUGCGUCUGGUGAGUGUUGUGGUGCGUCGUCUUCGCUGUCAACCGGUACGUGUGUUAGUGGACGCGCGUUGAUUAUGUGUUCCACCUCGAUCAACCAGUUCAUCAAUACGGCGUCUGUGGGUGUCUUCGUAAACUGCAUGCCGGAUAAUGUUCGCUUCACGGAUUGUACCAAUCGUUCCCAAGCGCCUCCAAAAUGCGGCGCGCCAGUUCUCGAUCGGCUCCGACGAAGUUCGUUCCCUUGUCGGAUAAAAAUUCAAUAGGGGUGCCCCGACGAGCUAUGAAGUUACGGAUGGCCAUGAUGCAGGAGCUUGUUGUCAUACUGUGGGCGAUUUCGAUGUGCACCGCUCGCACUGUAAGGCAUGUAAAGAGCACGCCCCAACGCUUCUCCUGCCUACGCCCGAUGGCAACCAUGUACGGUCCGAAGUAAUCUAUCCCAGUAUAUGUAAACGGCCUCUCGUAUGGCGAUACACGAGCUUCUGGAAGUCCACUCAUCAUAGGAGGUUUCGGUGCGGCUUUGCGGAUCCUGCAUACCAGACAGUUUUCUCGCACUCGAUGACAGGCACUCCGCAGCGCUGGAACAUCGAAUCUUUGCCGUACCUCGUUCAUGACCGUUUGAUGAUUCUGGUGUUGAUACUUCCUAUGAUACUCCGCAAUCACUAGGUCGGUGAGCCAGCAUCUUUUAGGAAGUAUUAUCGGUCAUUACAUGUCGUUCCCUACAAGGCGGCAGGCAUCGAUCCGUCCUCGUACUCGUAACACUCCGUCGCUGUCCAUAUAUGCGCUGCUUCUAUAAAGAGGACUAUUUUUA